rnacentral:misc_RNA from 1 species
GGUUACAUUUUUAUUUACUAUUUUGUGUGUUUGGUGAGAGGUUAUAAAGCAAAUAAGAAAAUAUAAUAUUAUUUUAAUAACAAAAUGCCUCCAAAAAAACAACCCGAGAAAGGUGGUAAAGCGAGUGGAGGCAAAGGUGGCGCUGGAAAAUCUAGUGGUGAUGCAAAAGAAUCGGGAGCAAAGGAGAAAAAAGGCGGUACAGCUGUCAAAGUACGUCACAUACUGUGUGAGAAACAGUCAAAAUGUUUGGAAGCUUUGGAAAAAUUGAAGGCAGGACAGAAGUUCCCUGAUGUAGCAGCGGCUUACAGUGAGGACAAAGCUCGGCAGGGCGGAGACCUGGGGUGGAUGACCCGGGGCUCCAUGGUCGGCCCAUUCCAGGAUGCUGCAUUCGCCUUGCCGAUAUCGACAGUCAACAGUCCUGUGUAUACCGAUCCGCCCGUCAAAACAAAGUUUGGAUAUCAUAUCAUAAUGGUUGAAGGAAAAAAAUGACCCAAAUGGCGUUCGAAUUUGAAUAUUUCUGGGCGAUACUACUCUUGUUCAUUAUGGAAAGGAUCUGCUGUUUGCAGGAGCAAUUUGACAAGGAUGUCUCGCUGUUGCCGGACCCUGAGAGGUCUAAUGAGUCCCUACACUCUAAUAUAGAUGAUUUUUCUAAUAGAGACUCAGGAUUAAAGUUGAGCUUCCUCCGCCUCUGCCGGCUGAUGCACGUGACUAUGCUGUUAUCUCUUGUCUACUUCUGCAACAUCUGCCUCUGGUUCAUAAUGACCAAGAAGAACACGCCCAGAUCGCUCCGUUACAGGUUUCGUGUAACAGUUCCAUCUUAAACAUUAUACCAUAUUUAAGACAAAUUCGUUGUUAAGCUAAUGAAAAAUAAAUGCGUUUUCUAUGUUCCCA